GGAGUUAGCCGGUGCUUCUUCUGUGAGUGAUGUCCUUCCUGCCGGCUAUUAACCCGCAGGCCUUCUUCCUCACUGAAAGUGCUUUACAACCCGAAGGCCUUCUUCACACACGCGGCAUGGCUGGAUCAGGGUUGCCCCCAUUGUCCAAUAUUCCCCACUGCUGCCUCCCGUAGGAGUCUGGGCCGUGUCUCAGUCCCAGUGUGGCUGAUCAUCCUCUCAGACCAGCUACGGAUCGUCGCCUUGGUGAGCCGUUACCUCACCAACCAGCUAAUCCGACAUAGGCUCAUCCGAUAGCGCGAGGCCCGAAGGUCCCCCGCUUUCCCCCGUAGGGCGUAUGCGGUAUUAGCCUGGGUUUCCCCAGGUUAUCCCCCACUACCGGGCAGAUUCCUAUGCAUUACUCACCCGUCCGCCGCUCGCCACCAGGAGCAAGCUCCCCGUGCUGCCGCUCGACUUGCAUGUGUUAGGACUGCCGCCAGCGUUCAAUCUGAGCCAUGAUCAAACUCUGA
rnacentral:rRNA from 1 species